AUUGAACGCUGGCGGCAGGCUUAACACAUGCAAGUCGAGCGGGGAAGAGUAGCUUGCUACUUGACCUAGCGGCGGACGGGUGAGUAAUGCUUAGGAAUCUGCCUAUUAGUGGGGGACAACAUCUCGAAAGGGAUGCUAAUACCGCAUACGUUCUACGGGAGAAAGCAGGGGACCUUCGGGCCUUGCGCUAAUAGCUGAGCCUAAGUCGGAUUAGCUAGUUGGGGGGGUAAAGGCCUACCAAGGCGACGAUCUGUAGCGGGUCUGAGAGGAUGAUCCGCCACACUGGGACUGAGACACGGCCCAGACUCCUACGGGAGGCAGCAGUGGGGAAUAUUGGACAAUGGGGGGAACCCUGAUCCAGCCAUGCCGCGUGUGUGAAGAAGGCCUUUUGGUUGUAAAGCACUUUAAGCGAGGAGGAGGCUACCGAGAUUAAUACUCUUGGAUAGUGGACGUUACUCGCAGAAUAAGCACCGGCUAACUCUGUGCCAGCCGCCGCCGUAAAAC
rnacentral:rRNA from 1 species